GGGCUUCGCAAGGCGGUUUCCUUAAGUCUGAAUGUGAAAGCCCCCGGCUCAACCGGGGAGGGUCAUUGGAAACUGGGGAACUUGAGUGCAGAAGAGGAGAGUGGAAUUCCACGUGUAGCGGUGAAAUGCGUAGAGAUGUGGAGGAACACCAGUGGCGAAGGCGACUCUCUGGUCUGUAACUGACGCUGAGGAGCGAAAGCGUGGGGAGCGAACAGGAUUAGAUACCCUGGUAGUCCACGCCGUAAACGAUGAGUGCUAAGUGUUAGGGGGUUUCCGCCCCUUAGUGCUGCAGCUAACGCAUUAAGCACUCCGCCUGGGGAGUACGGUCGCAAGACUGAAACUCAAAGGAAUUGACGGGGGCCCGCACAAGCGGUGGAGCAUGUGGUUUAAUUCGAAGCAACGCGAAGAACCUUACCAGGUCUUGACAUCCUCUGACAAUCCUAGAGAUAGGACGUCCCCUUCGGGGGCAGAGUGACAGGUGGUGCAUGGUUGUCGUCAGCUCGUGUCGUGAGAUGUUGGGUUAAGUCCCGCAACGAGCGCAACCCUUGAUCUUAGUUGCCAGCAUUCAGUUGGGCACUCUAAGGUGACUGCCGGUGACAAACCGGAGGAAGGUGGGGAUGACGUCAAAUCAUCAUGCCCCUUAUGACCUGGGCUACACACGUGCUACA
rnacentral:rRNA from 1 species